UCAGAGUGAACGCUGGCGGCGUGCCUAACACAUGCAAGUCGAACGAGAGGUUACAGUUUACUGUAACGUCAGCUAGUGGCGCACGGGUGAGUAAUAUAUAGUUAUCUGCCCCAAAGAAGAGAAUAAUUGUUGGAAACGACUUGUAAUGCUCUAUAUGCACAUAAGUGGAAACAUUUAUGGCUUUGGGAUGGGACUGUACGGUAUCAGUUAGUUGGUGAGGUAAUGGCUCACCAAGUCAAUGACGCCUAACUGGUUUGAGAGGAUGAUCAGUCACACUGGAACUGAGACACGGUCCAGACUCCUACGGGAGGCAGCAGUGGGGAAUAUUGCACAAUGGAGGAAACUCUGAUGCAGCAACGCCGCGUGGAGGAUGACACAUUUCGGUGCGUAAACUCCUUUUAUUAGGGAAGAUAAUGACGGUACCUAAUGAAUAAGCACCGGCUAACUCCGUGCCAGCAGCCGCGGUAAUACGGGGGGUGCAAGCGUUACUCGGAAUCACUGGGCGUAAAGAGCAUGUAGGCUGGUUAUUAAGUUGGAAGUGAAAUCCUAUAGCUUAACUAUAGAACUGCUUCCAAAACUGAUAGCCUAGAGUAUGGGAGAGGUAGAUGGAAUUUCUGGUGUAGGGAAAUCCGUAGAGAUCAGAAGGAAUACCGAUUGCGAAGGCGAUCUACUGGAACAUGACGCUGAGAUGCGAAAGCGUGGGGAGCAAACAGGAUUAGAUACCCUGGUAGUCCACGCCCUAAACGAUGCACACUAGUUGUUGCUAUGCUAGACAUAGCAGUAAUGCAGUUAACACAGUAAGUGUGCCGCCUGGGGAGUACGGUCGCAAGAUUAAACUCAAAGGAAUAGACGGGACCCGCACAAGCGGUGGAGCAUGUGGUUUAAUUCGACGAUACGCGAAGAACCUUACCUGGCCUUGACAUAGAAGGAACUUACUAGAGAUAGUUUGGUGAGUUUACUAGCCUUCAUACAGGUGCUGCACGGCUGUCGUCAGCUCGUGUCGUGAGAUGUUGGGUUAAGUCCCGCAACGAGCGCAACCCUCGUGUUUAGUUACUAACAGUUCCUGAGGACUCUAAACAGACUGCCUGGGUAACCAGGAGGAAGGUGAGGACGACGUCAAGUCAUCAUGGCCCUUACGGCCAGGGCUACACACGUGCUACAAUGGGGUAUACAAAGAGCCGCGAUACCGUGAGGUGGAGCAAAUCUCAUAAAAUAUCUCCCAGUUCGGAUUGAAGUCUGCAACUCGACUUCAUGAAGUUGGAAUCGCUAGUAAUCGUAGAUCAGAAUGCUACGGUGAAUACGUUCCCGGGUCUUGUACUCACCGCCCGUCACACCAUGGGAGUUGAUUUCAUUCGAAGCGGGGAUGCUAAAAUAGCUACCUUCCACAGUGGAAUUAGCGACUAGGGUG
rnacentral:rRNA from 1 species